CGUAUACGAACACCAUUGCCCAUGCAAGAAGCCAUUUACGUGCAGUUUCAAAGGCGAUUCACUCAGCAUCUGCGAAGCUCCGAAAGGAAAACGCAAAUAAGUUUCGCUGUGUCUCAA
rnacentral:lncRNA from 1 species